CUGGUGCACAAACAACAUUUGGUUCACUUCCAGCAACAAACUUUCUUAUACUUAAUCAACCAGUUUAUUAGAGCAUGAAGGAAAAUUGGUCAUGACUUCAGUUCCUGUACUGCUGGAAUUAACAAGCUGACUGUUGCCAGCACUCAACUUGGAAGUGCUAAUGAAGCCCAUGCCGGCCUCAGCAUGUGCCAGAAAGGAGAGUCUGAGGAAUUCUGCUGAAACAAGCAAAUCAUUGUUAAAUGCUGAAGCUUUGACUAGUCACCUGUGAACCCAGCCAUGAGCCUUUGGCCUAUAGGCUAAAGUGAAAAUAGCAAGGCAAAAAUGUUAUUUGUCCUGGUGUUUCUUUUCUUCUUCUCGUCUUUCACAUCUUGCACUUUGCACUUCAGGGCUGGUUUCAGCGUUAAUGUGAAAAAAAUGUGCAAAUGAGACAUUUCAUUGGGUACUUCAACAUUUUUUAAAAAAAAAUAGUCAGCAUUACAAUUUUGCAACCCAUGGUAGGGAAUGAAAGCUAGUAUUCAGACACUUCAGUUCCUAAUUACCAGAAGAUAAAUGGACAUAAAAUUAUUAAGCAAAGAAUCUGAACGCCAUCAAAAGUAAUAAAUGUUCCAUAGGAAAUGAAUUUGAUAAAUUUUAAGGGCAUUAUAAUUAAUCACCAUGACUUGUUCAUGAAUUAUAACUUGUUCUGCACUCGGCUACAAUUAUUUUGAUUUAAAGCUUUUUAUCAGUGAAUAAAGUUAUUCAAUUCCAUUUAACUCUCUAAAGUGAUUUGCAAGAUCUAAACUCUCAAAUAUCUCUCCUGUUUGCUUCUUUCAGUUCAUUUCUCCCAUCCAGCCUUCUAUGAGUCACUGAAUUAUUUCUAAAUCCCAAACACAUUUGGGUGACUAGCUUACUUACAAAACAACAACUGUAAAAAGAGGGACUCAUACUGGAUUAUUAAAUUGAUGACUGUAAAUCUAAGUUUGUAUAAAAGCCUUUUUAUAACUUAUUUGUGCACGAUUUUCUCAAAUCAUUGCUGAAGGGCUGUUAUUGACCUGCAAAGAGAAGGUACUCUUCAGUCCCUGUUGCUGCAGAACUUGCCUCUGAAGGCCUUAAAAUGACUUAGCUAUUAAUGAAUCGAGAAUAUAUUUGUCAUAACAAAAUUAUUUAUUGCCUAAAACCCAACACUACAAUUCUGUCAUGAACAUGAUAACUCGAAAUGCCAUUUUUUUUGAAGGUUUCUGAAGGUGGAAAUGCCUUUUGGCUUUCAUUUGCUUUCAUUGCCAACAGGAGGGAAAAAAUAGGGAAGUAGAAAGGUCUGGAAACAGCUUAAUUAGGUCUGUUAAAGAGAUACAAAAUAUUGCUUUUGGGGAAGAAAACAUGCUAUUUGCAACAGAGGAAUGUAUAGUGGGUAAUAGAAGAUCAGUUGCAAGGGAAAACGAGCUUUCGCCUGCACGUCGGGAUGGGGUGAGCAGAGGCACCAGCACAGAAGAGCCUCUUCGGUCUGAGGAAACACUAACUGCACAUGUCAAAC